AUACGUAGGGGGCGAGCGCUGUCCGGAAUUACUGGGCGUAAAGGGUGCGUAGGUGGCCUUUUAAGUUGGAUGUGAAAUACCCGGGCUUAACUUGGGGGGUGCAUCUAAUACUGGAGGGCUAGAGUGCAGGAGAGGAAAGCGGAAUUCCUAGUGUAGCGGUGAAAUGCGUAGAUAUUAGGAGGAACACCAGUGGCGAAGGCGGCUUUCUGGACUGUAACUGACACUGAGGCACGAAAGCGUGGGGAGC
rnacentral:rRNA from 1 species